rnacentral:rRNA from 1 species
UACGUAGGCAGCGAGCGUUGUUCGGAGUUACUGGGCGUAAAGAGUGCGUAGGCGGUGCUCCAAGUCUGGUGUGAAAUCUCCCGGCUUAACCGGGAGGGUGCGCCGGAAACUGGGGUGCUGGAGUGUGGGAGAGGUAAGCGGAAUUCCCGGUGUAGCGGUGAGAUGCGUAGAUAUCGGGAGGAACACCUGCGGUGUAGACGGCUUACUGGACCAUAACUGACGCUGAGGCACGAAAGCGUGGGUAGCAAACAGG